AACAACAUAUAAAUGCCAAUCAGAGAGCAGCACUACUGAAAUAGAACUCCCAGGAGUGAGGGGCCGGUGCUGGACACUGUGUAGGGACGCGGGAAUGCAAAGUCAUACACAUGACUGUGACUGAUGCACUAUUUCCAGGACAUGGAGUAGCAUUUCCGGACCUACAGCAAGACGUUGGAUGAAGGCAUAGCCCCAGAAAUAACACUGGUCCUGUUCAUCAGUGAGGGGCCGGUGCUGGACACUGUGUAGGGACACGGGAAUGCAAAGUCAUGCACAUGACUGUGACUGAUGCACUAUUUCCAGGACAUGGAGUAGCAUUUCGGGACCUACAGCAAGACGUUGGAUGAAGGCACAGGCCUAGGAAUCAUGCACAUACACAGAAA